UAGGGAAUCUUCGGCAAUGGGGGCAACCCUGACCGAGCAACGCCGCGUGAGUGAAGAAGGUUUUCGGAUCGUAAAGCUCUGUUGUAAGAGAAGAACGUGUGUGAGAGUGGAAAGUUCACACAGUGACGGUAACUUACCAGAAAGGGACGGCUAACUACGUGCCAGCAGCCGCGGUAAUACGUAGGUCCCGAGCGUUGUCCGGAUUUAUUGGGCGUAAAGCGAGCGCAGGCGGAUUAAUAAGUCUGAAGUUAAAGGCAGUGGCUUAACCAUUGUUCGCUUUGGAAACUGUUAAACUUGAGUGCAGAAGGGGAGAGUGGAAUUCCAUGUGUAGCGGUGAAAUGCGUAGAUAUAUGGAGGAACACCGGUGGCGAAAGCGGCUCUCUGGUCUGUAACUGACGCUGAGGCUCGAAAGCGUGGGGAGCAAACAGG
rnacentral:rRNA from 1 species